GACGAACGCUGGCGGCGUGCCUAACACAUGCAAGUCGAACGGAAACGACCGGCUUUUGCGGGGUGCUCGAGAGGCGAACAGGGGAGUAACACACGAGUAACAUGCCCCCGACUGUGGGGUAACUCAAGGGAACUCGGGCUCUUAAAGGGCAGGAGUCCCCGCUCCAUGGUGGUGGUAGGGGAGUUUCGGCGGAUGCGGAUGGUGUGGGGGCUUAUCAGCGUGCUGGAGGGGUAGGGGCAUACAACGGCUUUGAAAGGUCGCCGACCUGAGAGGGUGUCCGGCCACAUUGGGCCUGAGAGACGGAGCAGUCUCCUAUGGGAGGCAGCAGUGGGGAAUAUUGCACAAUGGGCGGAAGCCUGAUGAAGCGAUGUCGGGUGCGGGAUGCCGGCUUUCGGGUUGUAAACCGCUUUCGGCGGAGACGUAGCGUGAGUGACGGUAAUGGGUAAAGAAGCACCGGCUAACUACGUG
rnacentral:rRNA from 1 species